UUCCGCACAGCUGCCAUCGGAGGAGUCCCAAUCGUGUGGGUCUUCCACCUGGGCUACUUCGUCAUCCUCCUCU